CCGAGUUUCCUACCAAGACUGUUACAGGCAAAAGAAAACAGCUUCACUCUCCCCACUGGAGGAUAGUGGGAUGCCCACCACCACUAUGCCACACAACACAAGGAAUGUCAUGGGCCAGCAUUCAGGUCUGAUCUGUAUUUCAGCGCUGAUCCCUGUCCUGGAGGUUUGGCUCCCGGAGCCACGAGAUGGGUGAGUAGCAGAGGAAGCAAAACCAGUUACCAGAUACUGGCAACUCUCUGACAUUUCUACUGUCAGUGCUGAAAGGGCCGAAGCUUCUUUAGGACUGAAGGCAAAUAAAUACAUAUCCUCAUGUCUUCAAUGAGAUCAGAGAUGCCAACAUCAUCUAUGUUGGAAUACAACAUCCCGU